rnacentral:rRNA from 1 species
UCAGACGAUGCGUCAUGCAUAUCAAUAAGCGGAGGAAAAGAAACUAACAUGGAUUCCCCUAGUAACGGCGAGUGAAGCGGGAAGAGCUCAAAUUUGAAAUCUUAAAGGGUUUCCCUUUACGAAUUGUAGUUUAAAGAAGUGUUUUCUGUUGAGGUUUUGGUAAAAGUUCUUUGGAAUAGGACAUCAUAGAGGGUGAGAAUCCCGUAUUUGACCUUUACUUUCAACUUUGUGAUACACUUUCAAAGAGUCGGAUUGUUUGGGAAUGCAGUCCAAAAUGGGUGGUAAAUUUCAUCUAAAGCUAAAUAUUGGCGAGAGACCGAUAGCGAACAAGUACCGUGAGGGAAAGAUGAAAAGAACUUUGAAAAGAGAGUUAAACAGUACGUGAAAUUGUCAAAAGGGAAGCGUUUGACACCAGUGUUGUUUUUCUGAAAAUCAAUUAAAGAACUGUUUAUGCUAAGCUGUUUAGACUUUAUCAGCUAUCUGUUUAGUUUUGAGCUUUUCUUUAAUGCACUUUUCAGUUAACAAGUCAACAGUCAAUUUCUUUUGCUGUAAAAAAGCUUGAGGAAGGUGGCUUGAGAUUCGUCUUAAGUGUUUAUAGCCUCUUGCCUAUGCAGUCGGAGAGAUUGAGGUCUGCAGCGUAGAUCCUUCGGGGCUAAAUGCAUUUGUGCUAAGUUAUAGCAUUUUAUAGACAACUUGUUGACUAUGAUUUGUCUUGUAGCUUACUCGCUUAUGUUAUUUUACCUACGCUUAGGAUGUUGACACACGCGCGUGCUC